UACGAAGGGGGCUAGCGUUGUUCGGAAUUACUGGGCGUAAAGCGCGCGCAGGCGGCCAUUCAAGUCAGGGGUGAAAGCCCAGAGCUCAACUCUGGAACUGCCUUUGAAACUGUAUGGCUUGAGUAUGAGAGAGGUGAGUGGAAUUCCCAGUGUAGAGGUGAAAUGCGCAGAUAUCAGGAGGGAACACCGGUGGGCGAAAGGCGGGGUCUCUGGGGCCGAA
rnacentral:rRNA from 1 species